CCUACGGGUGGCAGCAGUGGGGAAUAUUGGGCAAUGGGCGCAAGCCUGACCCAGCAACGCCGCGUGAAGGAAGAAGGCUUUCGGGUUGUAAACUUCUUUUGUCAGGGAAGAGUAGAAGACGGUACCUGACGAAUAAGCCACGGCGAACUACGUCCCAGCAGCCGCGGUAAUACGUAGGUGGCAAGCGUUGUCCGGAUUUACUGGGUGUAAAGGGCGUGUACACGGGUUGACAAGUCAGAUGUGAAAUCCUGCGGCUUAACCGCAGAACUGCAUUUGAAACUGUUGUUCUUGAGUACUGGAGGGGCAGAUGGAAUUCCUAGUGUAGCGGUGAAAUGCGUAGAUAUUAGGAGGAACACCAGUGGCGAAGGCGGUCUGCUGGACAGCAACUGACGGUGAGGCGCGAAAGCGUGGGGAGCAAACAGGAUUAGAUACCCCAGUAGUC
rnacentral:rRNA from 1 species